rnacentral:rRNA from 1 species
GGCGGACGGUACCCCACAUUGGGACUGAGACACGGCCCAAACUCCUACGGGAGGCAGCAG